rnacentral:lncRNA from 1 species
AGUGGCAAAUUAUCCAAACUUUUUAUGAAAAUUUAGGUAACCAGUAUAGACAAAUAGUUGAUGCAUCUUGUGGAGGUACAUUUAUGAGCAAGAGUGAGGAUGAAGUCGAUAUCCUGUUUGAGACUUUGAGUGAGAACUCGAUCAAUCAUGCUUCACUAUCUUCUUAUGAAAGAUUGAUUUCUUACCAAAAACGAACAGAAAUCUAUAAAAUUAAAUAUGUAGACUCUAGUCUUAAGGUCG